AUGCAUGGGGUGUGCAUAGUGAAUGCAUGGUGCAUAGGGGUGCUCAGAGUGUGUGGGUUAUGCAUGGAGCAUGCAUGGUGCAUGGGUGCUCAGAGUGCAUGGGACAUGCAUGGUGCACAGGGGGUGCUUGGAGUGCAUGGUGCAUGCGUGGCGUAUGGGGGUGCUCGGAGUGCAUGGUGUGCACAUGGUGCGUGCAUGGUGUGCAGGGGUGCUCGGAGUGCAUGGUGUGCACAUGGUGCGUGCAUGGUGUGCAGGGGUGCUCAGAGUGUGUGGGGCAUGCGUGGGCAUGCAUGGUGCUCGGGGUACUUGAGCAUGCAUGGUGCAUGCAUGGCAUACAGGGUGCUCAGAGUGUGCUGCAUGCAUGGUGCAUGCAUGAUGCAUAAGGGUGCUCAGAGUGCAUGGGGUGCUUAUGGUGCACAGGGGGUGCUCAGAGUGCUUGGGGGUGUGCAUGGUGCACAGGAGUGCUUAGAGUGCCUCGGGCUUGUAUGGUGCGUGCGUGGUGCAUGGAUGGUGCACAGAGGUUCUUGGAGUGCAUGCUGCAUGCAUGGUGCAUGGGGGUGCUCGGAGUGCCUGGGACAUGCAUGGUGCAUGUGUGGUGCACAGAGGUGCUUGGAGUGCAUGCGGUCAUGCGUGGGCUAUACAUUGUGUGCAGAGGUGCUCAACAGUGUGUGCUGCGUGCAUGAUGCACAGGGGUGCUCCGAGUGCAUGGUGCAUGCAUGGCAUAUGCAUGUGCAUGGGGGUACUCAGUGCAUGGGGGCAUGCAUGGUGCAUAGGGGUGCUCAGAGGGUGUGGGUUAUUCAUGGAGCAUGCAUGGUGCAUGCGUGCUGCACGGGGGUGCUUGGAGUGCAUGGGGUGUGCGUGGGGCAUGCGUGGUGCUCAGGGGGUACUCUGAGUGUGUGGGGCAUGCAUGCUGCAGGCAUGGUGCACCGGGGUGCUUGGAGUGCAUGGGGUAUGCAAGGUACACAGGGCUGCUCAGAGCGUGUGCUGCAUGCAUGGCGCAUAGAGGGUACUCUGUUUGGGGCAUGCAUGAUGCAUGCACGGUGCACAGGGCUGCUUGGAGUGCGUGCUGCGUGUAUGGUGCACAGUGUGUGGCAUGUUCCACUGCACGGUGUGCACGGUCUGUAUGGUGCACACAGUGCACGGGGUGUGUGGUGCGUGGCGUGUAGCACUGCACUGUGUGCGGUGUGUGUGAUGUGCAAGGGGUACGUGGCCCACAAGGGGUGUGGGGCACAGAGUGCACAGUCGCAGCUCCGUGUGCGUGCGUUGCACGCGUGGUGCACAGCGAACUGUGCAUGCCAUUCACAUUGUAGCCCGCUCAGCACUGCAGCCCCAACCAGUUUACUGCUUUCACCCCACAAGCCCUAG
rnacentral:lncRNA from 1 species